rnacentral:rRNA from 1 species
AACGUAGGAGACAAACGUUAUCCGGAGUUACUGGGCGUAAAGGGCGUGUAGGCGGUUUGUUAAGUCUGGCGUGAAAGCUCUCGGCUAAACCGGGAGAGGUCGUUGGAUACUGGCAAACUAGAGGACGGUAGAGGCGUGUGGAAUUCCGGGUGUAGUGGUGAAAUGCGUAGAGAUCCGGAGGAACACCAGUGGCGAAGGCGGUUCUCUGGGCCUUGCCUGACGCUGAGGAGCGAAAGCGUGGGGAGCGAACAGG